GAUGAAGAACGUAGCGAAAUGCGAUAAGUAAUGUGAAUUGCAGAAUUCAGUGAAUCAUCGAAUCUUUGAACGCACAUUGCGCCCGCCAGCACUCUGGCGGGCAUGCCUGUUCGAGCGUCAUUUCAACCAUCAAGCCCCCAGGGGCUUGUGCUGGGGCCCUGCGGCUGCCCGCAGGCCCUGAAAACCAGUGGCGGGCUCGCUAGUCACACCGAGCGCAGUAGCACAUCUCGCUCAGGCGUGCGGCGGGCUCCUGCCGUGAAACCCCCCACUGUAACCCCAAAGGUUGACCUCGGAUCAGGUAGGAAUACCCGCUGAACUUAAGCAUAUCAAUAAGCGGAGGA
rnacentral:misc_RNA from 1 species